UGAUAAUAUUAAUUUUAUUUCCAUGAAGAAAAUUAUACAGAAAGAAGGCAAAACAAUGUAUUGCACAAGCCACAAAGUAGUUACUGGAUGUAUAUAGCUACAUAAAAGUUAAAAACCAGGCAAGACCACUAGGAAGGUGAAACUCUGAUGCCGAAGUGGUUUUGUGCAAACUCCACAAGGUGGUCGAUCUCAUCGUCAUCAAUAUAUCCAUUGCCAUCGGAGUCUGCACAGCGCACGCUCCACCAGGCACGCACCCCUCCGAACCAUCCUCCACCGAAGGUUCUCACAGCGCUUACCAGUUCUACUCUGCUUAUCCUACCAUCUUUGUCUACAUCAAAUCUUUUUAACCAAUUCUUGAACUCCUCCUUUGUCAUUGCAGGCCUGCCAUCGUUGCAUGCCAUCUACUCCCACAAGCCUUGUCUUUAGCAAUGUAAUGUUUCCUUUG
rnacentral:misc_RNA from 1 species